AACGAACGCUGGCGGCGUGGAUAAGACAUGCAAGUCGAACGGGACAGUCUUGUAGCAAUAUGAGACUGUUCAGUGGCGAACGGGUGCGUAACACGUGGGUCACAUUCCGGGAAGUGAGAAAUAGCCCAGGGAAACUUGGAUUAAUAUCUCAUGUGGUCGCAAGACUAAAGGCGCAAGCCGCUUCCUGAUUGGCCCGCGGCCUAUCAGCUAGUUGGUGAGGUAAUGGCUCACCAAGGCAACGACGGGUAGCUGGUCUGAGAGGACGACCAGCCACACUGGAACUGAGACACGGUCCAGACACCUACGGGUGGCAGCAGUCGAGAAUCUUUCACAAUGGGCGAAAGCCUGAUGGAGCGACGCCGCGUGGAGGUUAAGGUCUUCGGAUUGUAAACUCCUGUCAUGCGAGAACAAAGCCCGCAAGGGUGUGAUAGUACCGCAAGAGGAAGAGACGGCUAACUCUGUGCCAGCAGCCGCGGUAAUACAGAGGUCUCAAGCGUUGUUCGGAAUUACUGGGCGUAAAGGGUGCGCAGGCCGCGCGGGCAGUCAAAUGUGUAAUCCAGGGGCUCAACCCCUGAACUGCGCUUGAUACUUCCGCGCUCGAGCUUUGGAGAGGAGUCUGGAAUUCUCGGUGUAGCAGUGAAAUGCGUGGAUAUCGAGAAGAACACUUAGGGCGUAGGCAAGACUCUGGACAAAUGCUGACGCUCAUGCACGAAGGCUAG
rnacentral:rRNA from 1 species